UACGAAGGGGACUAGCGUUGUUCGGAAUCACUGGGCGUAAAGCGCACGUAGGCGGAUGUGUCAGUCAGGGGUGAAAUCCCGGGGCUCAACCUCGGAACUGCCUUUGAUACAGCACGUCUCGAGUCCGGAAGAGGUGGGUGGAAUUCCUAGUGUAGAGGUGAAAUUCGUAGAUAUUAGGAAGAACACCGGUGGCGAAGGCGGCCUACUGGUCCGGUACUGACGCUGAGGUGCGAAAGCGUGGGGAGCAAACAGG
rnacentral:rRNA from 1 species